CAUCUUUACCCAAAUGUGAAACCACCCUGCCCAAAAAGGAAGGCCACACAGAGGAAAGAAAUGCCAACAGAUGGAGAGAGAAACGGUAUCUUGAGGACCUGUGACCCUCCUGGAGAGAGCCAUGCCUGAAGUGGCCACAGCCCCUGGAUAUCUCUGUUACAUAAGCCAAGUCAACAUAUCUGGCAUAACUUGGCAGGGUUCAGAGAGACUACUCUGACCACCUGGUGUUUUUCUCUGAAAGCAGGGCUUGAUACCAGCACAAACAUUCCAUCUUCAGAAGUUCUAUUGGGAGUUUCAGUGAGGGCUUCAGUCUCUGUCUUUGGACAGAUGAUUCAGGCAAAGAGCUCUGCAGAGAACUUCCUCCUUCAGCCUGUCUCAGGACAAGGGCCCUCAGGAUCUGGGAGAGACAUCUAAUGACUCAGACUGUUUGAGAAACACAGAAAACAGUGCCACUGACCCCUUCUGGGGGUCAUUUGUCUUGCUGUGAAGUCUAGAAAGUCACAGAUUCCUCUGAGACCUCAUACUCUACCAUCUUUUGUGCUGUGUUACCUGAUUUUGUUGGCUUUCCGGAGUACCAGAGAUUACUUGGUACUGAGAGAGAACUUGACCUUGGUAUAUGUGAUGACUGGUGAGUCACUGGCAGAGUUAUGGUUUUGGAGGUGGCUGAGGGCUAUUGUUUACAGUAAAUGGUUAUUGCUACAGGACAGUACUCAUUUCCCUGGCAGUAUAGAUGAGACAGGUAAGGUUUAAACCUUAGAGAAAUGUCUUUGUAGCACAGGGUACUGUAGAAGCAUUGCUUGGCCGGGUCCCAUGGUGUUUCCCUUUUUUUGUGAGGGGAGAUUCCAGGAUUCAAUAUAAAAGUAGAAUGCUUGAUUUAAAAAAAUCUAAAUGCUCUGUCUUCCAACUGUGCUGGCUUUUCACAUAUUUAAAUUAUUCAACUUUAAAAACUGCAAAUGCUUUUUUGGCCCUGUUCCUUAAUGAGCUCCACCUUGAGUUCAGUUAUCCACUUGGAAAACAGACAUUAAAUUAAAAGCUACCUAUCUAAAUGAAAUUGGCCUCCUUAUGAAAUUCUAUGGUAAAUUCCUAUGAUUUUGUGUUACCUUGAAAUUCAUUUUUAACCUUCCCCUAACAUACCCAAAUUCCUUCUUUAAAAAUAUUAAAUUUUGUAUCUGUGAUUUGAGAUGUAAAUUUGCUACCCUAUUUCUCUAAACUUCAGUAAGGGCUUCAGCCAUGUGAAACAGAUCAACUUUAACAUUUUCCAUUUACAAAGGCACAACUGUCCAUUUAAACUAGAGAGUUUUACCUGAUUCAUGGGAAAGGUUUUAAAACUGAAGUUAUAAGAUCUCUAUGAUUGCCUGCAUUUUUUGUAUACAUGUGUACACGUCUUUUUGUAUGUUGUCUAUGACACCAAACUGACUUGUAAA